rnacentral:misc_RNA from 1 species
AUGAGUUUUAAAUUUAGUCAAUAAGUUUAAUAGUCCAAUACUCUCGUACAAACAGUUACUCUACUUCCAACUACUCUCAAAGCGUAUUCUGCGUAUUGGAAUGAGACUUUGCAUUCCAAUGUUACCCUGAUUUCAGAGGUUCGAUGUUUUCCUUCGUCGCACUUUCUCUCAAUACACGGCGCUUUCAGCCCGGCAGCAAAAACAGUAGCGAAGAGUAAAAAAACAUCCGUGCUGGAACCAGUAUAGCCGAUAAAUUACAGUGUUUACAAGUCGAUUUUUUUGCAUAUAACAACGAAAGAUACUGUAUGAAAGUGAGAUUGUCUAGGCUUGAUCAGUUUGAGCUUAGAAAAUUUCGAUUAUUAACGCAAACAUAUGCCGCUUCUAGAUUCGAAAAAGGAAGAAAAGACAAGAACNAGAGAAGUAAAGAAANAUAAGGCAAACCAGGGAAUACCAGUCCUAAUUGAAAUAGAUAUGAGUACUACUCGCGUGUCAUGUGAUCAGGGUAUUCUGCUAGUAAAAAGUUUCUCUUGGUACAGUAGUGCCAUGCGAAGGUAUAGGACCCUCAAACGUGCAAAGCUUCCAAGUGCAUUUGAACGUGUUUAAGAAUAGAAUAAACUGUAUGGAAACAGGAAGAAAGACAAUUGAGAAACAAAGAAUAAAAACUACUGAAAAAAGGACAAAUAAAAAAAAAUGAAAAGAAAGAAAGGAAAAAGAGCCAGUGACUGUGGUGGCUAAGAAAUUCUUCAAUUGAAAAAUUCAUCCUCCANCAUUUAACGGUUANAGAAUUGCAUGUUAUUUUCAAUCACAANAUCUAGUUGAUCGCAGGUGCAAACUUUAAAACCAAUACGGAAGUCCAGUAGGUUUAAAAAUAAUGAGCGCGGUCACUAUGGCGGAAGUUGCCAUGGUAGCGGACAAUUACAAGGGAUAUACACAUCGCAGUUUACCCAAUCAAUAUAUCGUUUUAUACAACGCCUUCAUCACCGUCCAACCACGCAAACAAAAGACAGACGAGCAUUAAUCAUUCAAACUCCUUUGGGCUUAUUUUUGGCGAAAACCAAACAAGCGCGUCCGAGUGACAACAAACAUUAAUCUAAAAAGAAAAACUACGUUUAUUUGACAUCAAAAUAAGAUUCAAUUUAACUUAUCGAUAAAGUACUUGGCACUGAAAUUUUAGAAUCCGCUGGAGACGACUUUCGCCACUGGGUGUUUCAAUGGAANCCCAGGCUCGAUCGCAGCGGGCNCUUCUCACAGCUCAAAUUGACCAGUAUCUUGUCUCCAAGACCCCAGCUGCGAAUCUCUGAUAUAUUUUACUACCAAAUCAAGGAAAAUAUUGAAUGAGCUCCGUGACAUAAGUGCCUUUUGGAUUCUUUGACGUUGCCGUUAUUGACAUAUGUAUUGAGUCGUAUUUCUUCAGCGCGUAAUUCCUAAGAAAACAUUUAUUGAAAACGCAAAGCCAUCUCGAGAAUGACGCCUUUGGACUAAACCCUUUGGAAAUGCCGGCUGAGGCUGCAUAUGCAUGUAACAAACUAAAACCAAAGCUCCCAGUUUGGUUUCCCUCCCCCAUUCCACGGUGACAUAGCGACGGCAAAGAAUCUUGGGAUAACGCACAUGGUCUUGGGAAACAUGGCGGAUCAGUAUAACACAGGUGUUGUAGACCCUAGUACUGAAAUUGCCGAUGUAGACUCAAGGAAGAGACCCCUAGAUGCUUCAUCNGACAUCCGUCAACCAUUUAAAAGAUCGAACUUUGGAGAUGUAGACAGUUACAGGACGAACACGACCAACAGAGGUAUGCUGCUACAACUUGAGUUUUAGAAUUAUUAUUAUAAUGAAGUUAUUAUAAGCNUACGUCCUGUUUUGAAUUGGACUCGGUUUGUGUAACCAUCCUCUCUUGGCGAAAGUUUGAAAUGUAUAUCGUAAUUCNAACAGAUGCUUACACAUUGGAGUACAAUCGUAGCCUACUAUUUCGUCACUUCGUGAUUUAACUUUAACACACUUGCGUAGUUUCUAGCAGAUAAGAAUUGACUUUCGUGUGAUUUUGGGCAAAUAUCAGCUGUACGAGCUGCGCUNGCCACAGAACUACUUACCAUUGACAAAUCCUAUCCGAUCUCUGCGAGGGAAAAUCAAUAAUUAAUCCUAUACCACUGUCGGUGUUUUUGUAAACUCUNUCUCAUUCCCUUGAGAUCUUUUUCCUUGUUAUUUGUCAAUUUGUAUCUAGGGAAUUUUCUCGUUGAGUCGUUGAGACUCAUUACGUUAUAUGUAUCUAGAUAAACUUGUCAAACGCCUGAUGAUUUUACACGCGACAAAAACCUUGACGUGGCUUCUUUCUCGCUGUUUUCUCGUCAUUNAACUUAAAACAAUUACCAUUAUUUAUUUUACAGCUAUGGACUGAACAUUUAGUUGGUAAAUACAUUUUCUAAGCUAAGUGAUUGUCCUAUUUUCAUUAAAGUUCCAGCCCACAACAUCAAAGAAAUUUUGAUUCUUCUCAUCCUUUGACAUUGUUUUAUUUAUAGUAUCUUUUAAUGUGGAAGUUAUGGUUUCCAUUAAAAGGCUAAAGAAAUAUGAAUAAAUUUGCUAGUUUGGCAUUAAUGAGUAGACGUCGACGCCAUCUGCAAAGGAAGGCAGUUAAGAAUUACCGUAUUUAGCAUAAGGCCAACGUAAUAAUCCCAUGUCUAGUUUCGACAUUAUUUCUAGGAGUUUUCCUAACUUCCUGUAAGCAAAAAUAUGUUGCUAUUUCCGCCUACAGCAGGUAAAGUGUUGAAAAUUUGACAUCUAUCUUUCCAAGUAGCAUAGCAUUUCUAGAUAUUGCCUAUAUUCAAAGAAUAGAAAUGUUAUGUUCAUUUGGGCCAAUGUUGGAUCGUUUGCCCUCGUAUUUACCACAUUAAGCCCUUCUCAAUUUAAUGAGUUAAAACUUCCUCAAGUGCCUUUAUUGGUAAAAACUCAUCAAGCUUUUUAAUAAUGCCUUGAAGGAAUGUUUUGGAUCAUUUGAGCUUAGGUAUUAAGAGAAGAGAAAUUCAAAAAGGAUAUUUUGCAUAUGUGAUCAUUACCUAUUCCAGGUGGUUUCAUAGCAGGGGAUUGUGUUUAUACUUUGAAAGAAAGCCUAGUAUUCACUAGUAAUUGAAAAAGUCACUCUUUACUACUGUUUUUUACAUCAUUCAUCUUCGUAUUAUUACUUUUGAAGACCUUGCUCAUCAUUUGACAACAUAAUAUUUCUGAUAUUUGUGGUAAAAAAUUUGGUUCUUUCACAGUGUUUAUUCUGAUUGAUUGUAUACAAACAUACCAACAUCAGGCCUGAAUACCUGACAGUUUAGAAAAAAUAUCCAUUCCUAAUUAUAUUUGUCUUCCAAGUAUGCAUUAUGCAUACUCAUCAAACUUAUUCAAAUAUGCUAUGUUCUGAAUGUAAACUAAUCCCACUCAAUACACACUUGAAACAGUAAUCGCUGAGAAACAUCGUUCUUUUUUAGUAUGUGCAUAAAAUUCACUCAUCAAACAGGUAAUAUUUUUUGCAUGUUGUGUUUGAACCACUCAAUUAUAUAAAAAAGAUAAUCUGUUCUAAUAUAAUUGCUUCUUGCUAAUCUGCUUUACUCAAAAGUGACCAAAAGGGAGAAUACCUUCCAAAACACAUGAUUAAACCCUAGUUUUAAUGUAUUUAUAUCAAUAUCUUGACACAAAAGGAGAACAGAUUUUUUAGGCUAGCUGCUAAACUUACAAGCCAAGUUAUUCAAUUUGUAGCUGAACUCUUUCAAUGGUNAGCUUUCACUGUUAUGCUCCAGUGAUCCUAGACGGUUUUGUUUCUUCUGUCACAAAAUGUGUUAUUAUUCUGCUUACCAAAAGCCAAAUUCAUUGUGGAUAUGGCUUGAGACAUGUACUCCAGUCGUAAUUACAAUUUUCUCUGUUUUCUAAUAUCAAAAUAUCAAGAAUUUGUGUUCACAUGUAUAAUAAGUUAGACCAUCCAGAUAAAAGCUUCAAGCUGAUUUAUUGUGAUCACAUCACACAAAUCGUCUGUUUGUUGUUCUAAAGUAAAGGUGUUUUCAUGUUUUCUGCUAAUGCUUAUGAGAACGUACCAGCAUGUCCAAUGUACUGUUGCCCUAGACAUAUCAAUCAUCUUCUACAUUAUACUCAUAUAUGUAUGCAAAUGUAUGUUUUACAAGUGCAUUGAGUGGUUGAAUAUAAAAUAGUCUUCCUGCCUAAGGGUCCAGUUACAUGUCUAUUAAGUACAAUCAUAUGAAAUUCACCUGAAACUCUAAAUGGUUGUAUGGUUUUACUGGAGCACAAAUAUAAACUUCCAAGAUUAUUU